rnacentral:rRNA from 1 species
GACGGAGGAUGCAAGUGUUAUCCGGAAUCACUGGGCGUAAAGCGUCUGUAGGUUGCACAAUAAGUCAACUGUAAAAUCUUGAAGCUCAACUUCAAAACCGCAGUCGAAACUAUUGAGCUAGAGUAUAGUAGAGGUAAAGGGAAUUUCCAGUGGAGCGGUGAAAUGCGUAGAUAUUGGAAAGAACACCGAUGGCGAAGGCACUUUACUGGGCUAUUACUGACACUCAGAGACGAAAGCUAGGGUAGCAAAUGGGAUUAGAUACCCCAGUAGUCCUAGCUGUAAACAAUGGAUACUAGGUGUUGAACAGUCGCUGCAGUGCCAAAGCUAACGCGUUAAGUAUCCCGCCUGGGAAGUAUGCUCGCAAGAGUG